AUGUACUUUGCAUAUGUAGGUACCUGUAUGGCAUCAAGCAGAGGUAUGUUGACAUAUAAUUUCUGAAUGACCUCUACAAACUUACCAAACUGCUCAUCCGACUGCAGUCCUCUGUUUCUUCUAGGAAAUGGCAAAUAGUUGGUGUCGUAAAAAUCUUUCCUCAUUUCUCCAGUUCUUGGUGGUUGGAGCAGAUCUUCUGCUUCAACUGGGCUUUCUUCUUCUAUCACUACUGGUUGCACUGGUGCUGAUGUUCUUUGUUUCUCUUUGGGGUAUGGGGGAUCCUUGGUAGCUGUAACACCCUAAAAUUUGCUUGUUUUAAAAUAGUUGAAUUUGAUUUUAUAGUCAAUUUUGUGAGCAUAAUAUAUAUAUAUAAUAAAUAAAUAAAUUUUGGGAAAAAUAAAAUUUAAUAUAAGUUUAGAAAACAUUUUUUGUGUGCAUUCAUGCUGUGGCAUUGUAUUUUGUGAUGUGUGAAUUUUGCAAAAGAAAGAUUUGAUCAAAAUUCAAAUUGAAAAUGCUUUUGAAAUGAGUUGAAAAAAAAAUAAAAAAAGAAAACCCUUCUCCCCCCCUCACUUUCGGCCUGCAGGCCCAGUCGGCCCAGCCGGCCAUCCCCUUCCCCCUCCUCUCUCUCCAGCGGCUGACAAGCGGGGCCCGUACGUCAGCUUCUUCUCCUUUUCCAACCGCCCCUUUCUCUCUCGCGCAGGAGACCGCAACCGGCCGAAGCCGCGCCCCCGCUCCCACUUCUCUCCCCCACGAUUUCUACCCCCACGCACGAGCGCGUGCCGCCCCUGCCGCAGUGCCGCUCCCAUUUCGCUCUCUUCCCCACCUCUACUCUCGUUUCAGAGCUCACAGCAACCGCCGGAGCGCCGCCGCGAUCCACCGCCCGCUGUCCGGCCGAACUAAGCCGUCUCCGCCUUCGAUUUUCGCAGUGGUGAGCGCGCCGCCUUCCCCUCUCCCUCUCCGGUUGUCUCCCAUGCGAAAAUGUGGCCUCU
rnacentral:lncRNA from 1 species